UACGUAGGCGGCGCUGUCAGUCGGGUGUGAAAGCCCUCGGCUCAACCGAGGAAUUGCGCCCGAUACUGCAGUGCUUGAGGGAGACAGAGGUAAGCGGAACUGAUGGUGGAGCGGUGAAAUGCGUUGAUAUCAUCAGGAACACCGGUGGCGAAAGCGGCUUACUGGGUCUCUUCUGACGCUGAGGUACGAAAGCUAGGGUAGCGAAGG
rnacentral:rRNA from 1 species